UAUUUUUGCAGAUAGUUUUUGUUUAUAAGCUGCCAUGAUAUAAAAGCUUUCAAACUGGGAUUAGAUACCCCACUAUGCUCAGCCCUAAACAUAGAUAGCUUACAUAACAAAACUAUCUGCCAGAGAACUACUAGCAACAGCUUAAAACUCAAAGGACUUGGCGGUGCUUUACAUCCCUCUAGAGGAGCCUGUUCUAUAAUCGAUAAACCCCGAUAUACCUCACCACUUCUAGCUGAAUCAGUCUAUAUACCGCCAUCUUCAGCAAACCCUCAAAAAAGGAAGAAAAGUAAGCACAAUAAUAAUACAUAAAAAAGUUAGGUCAAGGUGUAACCCAUGAAGUGGGAAGAAAUGGGCUACAUUUUCUAACCAAGAAUACACUCACGAAAGUUUUUAUGAAAACUAAAAACUAAAGGUGGAUUUAGUAGUAAAUUAAGAAUAGAGAGCUUAAUUGAAUGGGGCCAUGAAGCACGCACACACCGCCCGUCACCCUCUGCAGUCAA
rnacentral:rRNA from 1 species